UUUUUUUAAUAUUUAUACACAACUCUAAAACGAUCUAUAUUAAGGAAGGGAGACUCAUAAUCACGUGUGCCUCCACGUGCAUGCCUGACACGUAAAUCUACUGGAGGAUGCUAAAAUUUGGCAUGACAGUUCUUUGCACAUCCAUGCCACGUGUCCCGCCAAUAGAGGCCUUCAUUACACCAUAUACCUUUGAUUACAUUUUAUAAUGG
rnacentral:lncRNA from 1 species